rnacentral:rRNA from 1 species
AACGAACGUUGGCGGCGUGGAUUAGGCAUGCAAGUCGAACGAAGACGGGGUAGCAAUAUCCCGGACUGAGUGGCGAAAGGGGCAGUAAAGCGUGGGUAACCUACCUCUGGGACGGGGAUAGCCUCUCUAACGGGAGGGUAAUACCCGGCGACGUAGCGAAGGGGCAUCUCUUUGCUACCAAAUGAAUUUCGCCCGGAGAGGGGCUCACGUGCUAUUAGCUUGUUGGUGGGGUAACGGCUCACCAAGGCUGAGAUGGCUAGCAGGUGUGAGAGCACGACCUGCGCCACUGGCACUGAGACACUGGCCAGACUCCUACGGGAGGCUGCAGUCGAGGAUCUUUGGCAAUGGGCGCAAGCCUGACCAAGCGACGCCGCGUGCGCGAUGAAGGCCU